AGUGAACGCUGGCGGUAGACCUAACACAUGCAAGUCGAACGGCAGCACAGUAAGAGCUUGCUCUUACGGGUGGCGAGUGGCGGACGGGUGAGGAAUACAUCGGAAUCUACUUUUUCGUGGGGGAUAACGUAGGGAAACUUACGCUAAUACCGCAUACGACCUACGGGUGAAAGCAGGGGAUCUUCGGACCUUGCGCGAUUGAAUGAGCCGAUGUCGGAUUAGCUAGUUGGCGGGGUAAAGGCCCACCAAGGCGACGAUCCGUAGCUGGUCUGAGAGGAUGAUCAGCCACACUGGAACUGAGACACGGUCCAGACUCCUACGGGAGGCAGCAGUGGGGAAUAUUGGACAAUGGGCGCAAGCCUGAUCUAGCCAUACCGCGUGGGUGAAGAAGGCCUUCGGGUUGUAAAGCCCUUUUGUUGGGAAAGAAAAGCAGCAGGUUAAUACCCCGCUGUUCUGACGGUACCCAAAGAAUAAGCACCGGCUAACUUCGUG
rnacentral:rRNA from 1 species